AAAUUAAUAGUGAUGCGGGGGAAAGAUAUAAUUCUGCUGGAUGAUCCCCAAAAGGCAUUAUUAUGGCUUAAAAAAAAUGACCUAAAGUAGUAGGCUGAUAGAGAGGAGUAAGGAGAGGGGAAUGGGGAGAGGAGAGGGGGUAAGCAGUUUUGUGUAGCUGUGGGGUGUUUUUUUGAUGCGCGGUGGGUCACUAUGGAAUACAAGUGUAUGAAUAUCCA